rnacentral:rRNA from 1 species
UACGUAGGGGGCAAGCGUUGUCCGGAAUCAUUGGGCGUAAAGCGCGUGUAGGCGGCUAGGUAAGUCUGCUCUGAAAGCCCGGGGCUCAACCCCGGGAGGCGGGUGGAUACUGUCUAGCUCGAGUCCGGAAGAGGAGUGUGGAAUUCCUGGUGUAGCGGUGAAAUGCGCAGAUAUCAGGAGGAACACCAAUGGCGAAGGCAGCACUCUGGGACGGUACUGACGCUGAGACGCGAAAGCGUGGGGAGCGAACAGG